UUCGAUACUGGGAAGCUAGAGUAUGGGAGAGGAUGGUAGAAUUCCAGGUGUAGCGGUGAAAUGCGUAGAGAUCUGGAGGAAUACCGAUGGCGAAGGCAGCCAUCUGGCCUAAUACUGACGCUGAGGUACGAAAGCAUGGGGAGCAAACAGGAUUAGAUACCCUGGUAGUCCAUGCCGUAGACGAUGUCUACUAGCCGUUGGGGCCUUUGAGGCUUUAGUGGCGCAGCUAACGCGAUAAGUAGACCGCCUGGGGAGUACGGUCGCAAGACUAAAACUCAAAUGAAUUGACGGGGGCCCGCACAAGCGGUGGAGCAUGUGGUUUAAUUCGAUGCAACGCGAAGAACCUUACCUGGUCUUGACAUAGUAAGAACUUUCCAGAGAUGGAUUGGUGCCUUCGGGAACUUACAUACAGGUGCUGCAUGGCUGUCGUCAGCUCGUGUCGUGAGAUGUUGGGUUAAGUCCCGCAACGAGCGCAACCCUUUUCCUUAUUUGCCAGCGGGUUAAGCCGGGAACUUUAAGGAUACUGCCAGUGACAAACUGGAGGAAGGCGGGGACGACGUCAAGUCAUCAUGGCCCUUACGACCAGGGCUACACACGUGCUACAAUGGUCGGUACAAAGGGUUGCUACCUAGCGAUAGGACGCUGA
rnacentral:rRNA from 1 species